CUCCGGGUCCUCCUCUCGCGAGAUUUGGAGCGUUGCCGCGGUUACCACGGCAACGCUCCAAGUCUCGCGAGAGUGAACUCUAGCCCGGGAGCGCGGACUAGAGUUCACUGUAACCACUGGGACCACCAGGGAAUCACCACUGGGACCACCAGGGAUCGAAGUAUGUCCCCCCUCCCCCCCAGUAAAGGUAAGAAGGGAGGGGGGACAUAGGAUAUAUUUUUUUUUAAAUUAAAUAAAG